rnacentral:sRNA from 1 species
GCCCGCAACGAAUCUUGAAAGUUCAUUG